rnacentral:rRNA from 1 species
AUUGAACGCUGGCGGCAGGCCUAACACAUGCAAGUCGAACGAGUGGCGGACGGGUGAGUAAUGUCUGGGAAACUGCCUGAUGGAGGGGGAUAACUACUGGAAACGGUAGCUAAUACCGCAUACCAUCAGAUGUGCCCAGAUGGGAUUAGCUGGUCGGUGGGGUAACGGCUCACCAAGGCGACGAUGCCUAGCUGGUCUGAGAGGAUGACCGGCCACACUGGAACUGAGACACGGUCCAGACUCCUACGGGAGGCAGCAGUAGGGAAUAUUGCGCAAUGGGCGAAAGCCUGAUGCAGCCAUGCCGCGUGUAUGAAGAAGGCCUUCGGAUUGUAAAGUACUUUCAUCAGGGAGGCGUUACCCACAGAGGAAGCAACGGCUAACUCCGUGCCAGCAGCCGCGGUAAUAC